CUCCCUCUUUGAACCCUAAGCCUCGCAUCUGAAACUGAAUGAAAACCACCCCCAAGCCAGAUUCGUGCCCUCGUCUCUCUGUCUCUGCUCUCUCGAGCUCGGCGUCGGCAGUGGGAAGCACCUCACCCUAACCUCGUCACUCUCUCAAACUCAGUGCUGGCAGUUCGUCACUCUCUCGGCAUCAGUUCGUCACUCCCUCAACUUCGUCGGUUCGUCAAUCCCUCGGUCAUCGGUUCGUCAAUCCCUUGGCGUCACUCUGGUUCUCUCACUUCGUCGCUCUCUCGGUCUGUCACCGGGAGUCCGUUACCUUACGUUCGCUUUGUUGGAACCAGUAAAGCAGCAUCUGCUCCCUCGGGUGGUGGUGGUGGUUGUCUUCUCAACUAGGAAGGACUGAUUUAGUUGCACUGAUUGCAUUCAUGCCAACCAACCCAAAUAAUGAUUUGGGCUCAUUAGACUACAAGAAAGAAGAGAGGCGCACAUUGGCAAUUAAAUUCCGUUAUGCAGCUCUAAGGUUUGGGACUCGUGAGCGGCAAAAACUGAUAGAUGAGGUGCUGAGCUUCCAUAUGGUAAAGUGGUUGAAAUAAAAGUUUUCGAGCGUUUAGAAGGAAGAAUAGCAAUACCAAAAAUAAUCUAUCCUGCAGAGUCUGAAUUGUAUUGCUCUCACGUCUGUGAAACAAUUCUGUUAAUAGUUUCUACUUAGUGUUAGUGUGUAUAUCAAUGUAUAAAACUAAGAUUGAGACAAGUGUAUUCACUCAACUAUAUUGAUAUGUUAGUUGGUUACUUUAAUCACAACUUAUCUUAAUUGUUGAUUAUCA